CCGUGAUAAUGUAGCGAAAUCANNNNNCNUUUAAUUGACGACCAGUAUGAAUGGUUAAACGAAUUUUCCACUGUCUCCAUGAUAAACUUAAUGAAUUUAAAAUAAUAGUGAAGAUGCUAUUUAAUGAUUGUAAGACGAGAAGACCCUAUAGAGCUUAACUAUAACCUUUAACUAAAUGACGAUAAUUUAUCUGUCAAUAUUAAAGGUCGGUAGUUUGGUUGGGGCGACCAUCUUCUAAAUGUAACGAAGAUAAACAAUGAUAGAUAAAAAUUAUUAAUUUAACUGUAUAAUAAAUAUAUUUAACAGGUAUUAAAAUAGGUAAAUUGACCCGUUUAUUUUGAAUAAGAAAAAUAACGAUUAAUAAAUAAAAGCUACCUUAGGGAUAACAGCGUAAUCUUAUUUAAGAGUUCUUAUCGACAAUAAGGUUUGCGNACCUCGAUGUUGAAUUGCGAUAACCUGAGGGUGCAGCAGCUCUCAAA
rnacentral:rRNA from 1 species